UUUACCGUGCAAGGUAGCAUAAUCAAUUGUUUUUUAAUUGAAGGCUUGAAUGAAUGGUUGUAUGAGAUAUAAACUAUUUUUAUUUUAAUAAAAUGAAUUUAAAAUUUUAGUAAAAAUGCUAAAAUUAAAAUAUUAGACGAGAAGACCCUAUAGAUCUUUAUUUAAAUUUUUAUUUAAAAAUAUUGAAUAAUUUAUUUUAAUUUAAAAUUUAAAUUUUAUUGGGGCGAUAAUGAAAUUUUAAAAACUUUUAUUUAAAAUAAUAAAAAUAAUUAAUUUUUUGAUCCAUUAAUAAUGAUUAAAAGUUUAAGUUACCUUAGGGAUAACAGCAUAAUUAUUUUAAAAAGUUCUUAUUAAUAAAAUAGAUUAUGACCUCGAUUGUAGCACAGUGAGAUUCGUGUAUCAAAGUGACGCCAUCGUGUGUCA
rnacentral:rRNA from 1 species